rnacentral:tRNA from 1 species
AAUAAGAUGGCCGAGUUUAUAGGCGGUAGAUUGUAAAUCUAUGCACGAAUAAUAUUUUCUCUUAUUG